CGGGCGCCGGGGGCCGGCUGGCGCGGGGGCUCCUACCCUGCCCGGCCUGGCGAUGGAGUUUCCGGACCUCGGCGCUCACUGUUCGGAGCCGAGCUGUCAGCGCUUGGAUUUUCUGCCGCUUAAGUGUGAUGCCUGCUCAGGCAUCUUCUGCGCAGACCAUGUGGCCUACGCCCAGCAUCACUGUGGAUCUGCUUACCAAAAGAUCUUCACCAAUAAGUGUGAGCGCGCUGGCUGCCGGCAGCGAGAAAUGAUGAAACUGACCUGUGAACGCUGUAGCCGAAACUUCUGCAUCAAGCACCGGCAUCCACUGGACCAUGAUUGCUCUGGGGAGGGGCACCCAACCAGCCGGGCAGGACUUGCUGCCAUCUCCAGAGCACAAGCUGUGGCUUCUACAAGCACUGUCCCCAGCCCAAGUCGAACCAUGCCUUCCUGUACCUCUCCCAGCAGGUAGGCCUGCCCGUUUCCCUGCUCCCCCUUUUUCCCCUUCACACCUCUGACCUCCACCUCUUCAAUGUCUGUCGUAGAGCCACAACCCGAUCUCCGUCCUGGACAGCCCCUCCAGUGAUUGCUUUGCAGAAUGGCCUGAGUGAGGAUGAAGCUCUGCAGCGGGCCCUGGAAAUGUCCCUGGCAGAGACCAAACCCCAGGUUCCAAGGUACCUUACCCUCUUGUGAAAGAGAGCGCAAGCUGUGGGCAAGGGCUUGGUCUGGAGGCAGGUAGGUGGGACCACUCUGACACAAUGCAAGAUAAUCACUGCCAACUUGGUCUCAAAAUUAAGAUGAACUAUAUGAUCUUUGACAAGUUAUUUAACCCAUGGAGCCUUCAUUUCCUCUAUAAAACGGGGACAAUACUAAUACCCACCUUGUAGUGUUGCUAUGAAGAUUGAGAUAA
rnacentral:sRNA from 1 species